UCUUUCUAAGUUUAAAUUUAAUGUUUUAUUUUAAAUGAAGGGAGAUUGACUUGGCUCAUGUUUUGUUUUUGAUUUUGUACAGGAAUCAAACUCAGCACCUUAUGCCUGUCAGGCAGGCCCUGGCGCCGCUGAGCUAUAUCCUGGUGCUCAUGUUAUGUUUUGAGAUAAAUUGCUGAGUUCCCCAUGCCGGGCUCAAACUUUCGACCCUCCUGCCUCAGCCUCCCGGAGUGCUGGGGUACCGCCACGCACUCCUGCCCCCAUCACACGCAGUGCCACCGCUGUAGAAGUGAGUCAGUUAGGCUGAUCUGCUAGGACAGCUGCAGAACCUGCGCGGUGACCCAAUACCCCCCAUUCCCCAGGUUGCGCAGGGAAGCAAGAGGCACUCGGAGAAGGAAACCCUUGGGUGAGCUGCGUCCUCUGCCCUCCCCUGCCCACAUCGAAACAGGCUCUCAGGACAUCGUGCCAAGCCACAUCCAUACAAAGCCUUUUGGAGUCAGACCGUGCCUGGCAGCCGGGUGUCAGUAACGGGCCACACACGGCACCAGACUGUUUGCAAAGCGGCUUACAAAGCUGUCACUGAACACAGCAAUGCUGUCACUGAAUGCUGCUAGGAUCACGCUGAUGAACUCGUCACGCUGCUUCCUGGCACGUACCCGACUGUGCUUGUCGUCGGAGGAGCUCGGGGCCUCCGUGUCGCUGAGGACAGCUGUGGUUCCAUUCAGGACAGCCCUGCUCUUUGUUGUGAGUGUGACUUCUCGGCUCCAGUGUAGAACCCUCAACCCACCAGCACAGCUCCUUCACCACGCUGACCCUUGGGUCUUCCCGGCACGAAUCCGUAAAAGAGACUGGCGUGAGUCCUUGUGGGCCCUGGACUUCCAGUUGGACUCGUGGAGGCGUUGUCCUGAGCUCUGGGUUUUUAUCUGGACUCAUGUGGGACAUUGCCGUGGGGUUUAGCCUCUUGACUUAUAUAAUGUAUGUCGUUGGUGUUGCGGAUAGAUUUCCUGCAUUCUUCUGUAUUAACUUCCGGUGACCAUUAUAAAUAUAUUAUAAACUCCAUGUCCUGAUCUG
rnacentral:lncRNA from 1 species